UGACACACUGGUCUCAAUGAUCUCCCAUGUGAACAGGAGUGCUGGAUGGGAGUUAUUAACAAAGUUAAUAAAACGUUCCAAUUCAACACGAGAACAUGAUGCGGUGCCGAGACAGUCAUCUAUGCAGGCUUUCUUGUCAUCCUACUUUUUCCUACUUUUCCUAUUUUUCCUAUUUUUUAUUAUAAUUGCUUGACUUUCCAACUUUCUCCUACUUUUUCUCAUAAAAUACUACUUUUUUAAGACAGCUUGGGAAUUCAGUAUGUUAUAGCUCUCGUAAUUAGAUCUAUAGGACUCGCAAUUUUUAUUCCCUAUUUGUGUCCCAGAUGAUAAGAUCUCAGGAAGAAAAGAAGUAGCCUACAUUUUCCGAGUAUAAAUUUCAUAACAUCUCUAGAUACUCUGAAAAUGUUAUUUCCCGA